AAGGCUUUCUGUCUAAAGCCUUUCCAUACUGGUGCUCGAUGUUUUCAGUUUGGGGACACCAAAAUUAGUGUACCGCUAAAGACACGUGGUCGACACGUUGUGACACGUUGCUGACACUUUGUUGACACGUGACCCAAUUACCGGCCUACCAAGUGCCUUUGGUGACCGCUAACAGCAACUGUGGAACAGUGCAGUGCCCUUUUUUGGAGCAACGUACGAGUAGUGCCCAUGGAUUAUGACCCCGCGACCCCAAUCUACGUGGCGGUCCGCAAUUCGCUACUUCAUACUGACUGGCGUCCGACAUCGUCCCGAAUUUGGCCACAAUCUGCUCUCGGGACCCCUAUAGGGCUCCCUGACCUGCUCCAUCUCCGCCAUCGUCAAUGUACUGCGCAUCCACCCAGGCCAGGACUGCACUUACUUACGGGAAGGAGUAUUUGCAAGAUGGAACCUGGGAACUGGAAGACGACGAAGAGGAAGCGUGGGAAUCCGGCGGCAAUGGCUGGGAUGACUGAACUUACGGGAAGGAGUGCUUCCAAGAUGGGAGACGAAGAAGAAGAAGCCGCUGAAUCCGGCGGCAAUGGCUGGGAUCUUUCUGAAGCUAGCUCUGCAGUGGAUAAGAAACAUUCCGUGUAAGUGGAGUUG